rnacentral:rRNA from 1 species
AGUGAACGCUGGCGGUAGGCCUAACACAUGCAAGUCGAACGGCAGCACAGUAAGAGCUUGCUCUUACGGGUGGCGAGUGGCGGACGGGUGAGGAAUACAUCGGAAUCUACUUUUUCGUGGGGGAUAACGUAGGGAAACUUACGCUAAUACCGCAUACGACCUACGGGUGAAAGCAGGGGAUCUUCGGACCUUGCGCGAUUGAAUGAGCCGAUGUCGGAUUAGCUAGUUGGCGGGGUAAAGGCCCACCAAGGCGACGAUCCGUAGCUGGUCUGAGAGGAUGAUCCGCCACACUGGAACUGAGACACGGUCCAGACUCCUACGGGAGGCAGCAGUGGGGAAUAUUGGACAAUGGGCGAAAGCCUGAUCCAGCCAUACCGCGUGGGUGAAGAAGGCCUUCGGGUUGUAAAGCCCUUUUGUUGGGAAAGAAAAGAAGCAGGUUUGUACCCCGCUGUUCUGACGGUACCCAAAGAAUAAGCACCGGCUAACUUCGUG